rnacentral:rRNA from 1 species
UACGUAGGGUGCAAGCGUUGUCCGGAAUUAUUGGGCGUAAAGAGCUCGUAGGCGGUUCGUCACGUCGGCUGUGAAAUCCCGAGGCUCAACCUCGGGUCUGCAGUCGAUACGGGCGGACUUGAGUACUGCAGGGGAGACUGGAAUUCCUGGUGUAGCGGUGAAAUGCGCAGAUAUCAGGAGGAACACCGGUGGCGAAGGCGGUUCUCUGGGCCUUACCUGACGCUGAGGAGCGAAAGCGUGGGGAGCAAACAGG